UUGGAGGGCAAGUCUGGUGCCAGCAGCCGCGGUAAUUCCAGCUCCAAUAGCGUAUAUUAAAGUUGUUGCAGUUAAAAGAGCUCGUAGUUGAAUUUCGGGACCAAUUUGUUGGUCGUGUCUCGGUACGUACUGGUAUUAUUGGUUUCUACCUUCUGAAGAACCUUGAUGUCAUUAAUUUGGUGUCUUGGGGAAUCAGGACUGUUACUUUGAAAAAUUAGAUGUUUAAAAGCAAGCAAUACGCUUGAAUACAUUAGCAUAGAAUAAUGAAAUAGGACGUUUGAUUCUAUUUUGUGGUUUCUAGGAUUCGACGUA
rnacentral:rRNA from 1 species